GACGAACGCUGGCGGCGUGCUUAACACAUGCAAGUCGAACGGAAAGGCCCUGCUUUUGUGGGCUUCUCGAGUGGCGAACGGGUGCGUAACACGUGAGUAACCUGCCCUUGACUUUGGGAUAACUUCAGGAAACUGGGGCUAAUACCGGAUAGGAGCUCCUGCUGCAUGGUGGGGGUUGGAGAGUUUCGGCGGUUGGGGAUGGACUCGCGGCUUAUCAGCUUGUUGGUGGGGUAGUGGCUUACCAAGGCUUUGACGGGUAGCCGGCCUGAGAGGGUGACCGGGCACAAUGGGCCUGAGAGACGGCCCAGAGUCGUACGGGAGGCAGCAGUGGGGAAUAUUGCACAAUGGGCGGAAGCCUGAGACAGAAACGCCGCGUGCGGGAUGACGGCUUUCGGGUUGUAAACCGCUUUCGCCUGUGACGAAGCGUGAGUGACGGUAAUGGGUAAAGAAGCACCGGCUAACUACGUG
rnacentral:rRNA from 1 species